CAAACAACUUCAACAAACAGUUCUGACAGCCGAGGACACUGAACAAAGAGACGGACUUCCCCCAGCUCCGGAUCAAGGUGCGCUCUGUACCCGUUUGUAGCCAUCGCCCCGUGAACGACCCUCCACUGGAGGUCUGCUGUCCGCUUCUCAACGGGCAGCUUGUACAGAGACCUUCCAGCUGCCUUUCGGGGGAAACCUCUGGACCAAAGAAACCGGUCCACCUCGACUCCUUUUAUCCCGGCCAAAGACCGCAACUUCACCACCUUGACACACAUCCCGGAUUCCUUCAAGCCGGGAUGUUUGGCUACAAGAGCCUCUGCAGCCUCAGCGAUCUCUUUAUCACUUUGUUUCAGUUCAACAUCAAAUGCAAAUGUGGGAACAGGAAAAGGACCUGGAGGCCACCUGCUGAGACGCUCUGGAGAUCUGAAAGUAGGACAGUAGAUGCAUUAGAGCUGGAGUCUUGUGAACGUGAGGUGUGCGCAACACCUUUUUGUGGCAAUUCCUCAAUGUCUGCAAGGUUCCCUUCAAAGUCUGCAAGGUUCCCUUCAAAGUCUGCAAGGUUCAUCUUCAAAGUCUGCAAGGUCACCUUCAAAGUCUGGAAGGUUCCCUUCAAUGUCUGCAAGGUUACCUUCAAAGUCUGCAAGGUUCAUCUUCAAAG